CCAGAGAUGCAAUAAGUUUAUAGCAUGUUUGUGAAUGAUCUAAUGAUCGGACUGCUGAUUGCAGCUGGUCCACAUUGUUAGCAGAACUAGAGGGCCCCAAAAGCAAAUUUUGCUUAGGGCCCCGUGGAGGCUUGGGCUGGCCCUGACAAACUGGAUCAGAACCAGA